GACGGAUGGGGCUAGCGUUGUUCGGAAUUACUGGGCGUAAAGGGCGCGUAGGCGGCCAUUUAAGUUAGACGUGAAAGCCCUGGGCUUAACCUAGGAACUGCGUUUAAUACUGGAUGGCUAGAGUAUGGUAGAGGAAAGCGGAAUUCCUAGUGUAGAGGUGAAAUUCGUAGAUAUUAGGAAGAACACCAGAGGCGAAGGCGGCUUCUGGACCAUUACUGACGCUGAGGCGCGAAAGCGUGGGGAGCAAACAGG
rnacentral:rRNA from 1 species